UCCCUGGUAGUAUAUCGGUUAGUACACGCGCCUGUCAUAUUUUCGUCGAGCGCGCGAAAGCUGGGUUCGACUCCCAGCCAGGGAG